CCCCUUCCGCCGCCGGCUCCGAUCGCCUAUAUUCCGAAGCGCCGGGGAUACCCGGCUAUGGUGAUAAACGGCCGCCGCAAUAAACCCUUCGGACCCGGGGGCAGUACCCGGCGCCUCCACCGAAGCCCAUGGGCCUCUUGGCCUGGCGUGGGCUUCGGCGGGGGCGAAACAGGAUCGACGGGGGCGUAAAGGGCGAACUUUCACCCGGUAUUGUUCCGCCGUUAUCGGGCUUUUUUAUAGUUGCCAACGACAACUAUGCUCCGGUUGCUCAGGCCGCGUGAGCGGUUUGAAAGACCACGCUUAAAGUCCUGAUGGGUUAGCAUUCGUCAGGCGGGGUUCGGAGGUACCUGGCAACAGAAACCUCCACU
rnacentral:tmRNA from 1 species